UUUACUGUUGUGUAUAUUUGGUACGGUGGGGUUGUUCUAUGUGUGAGAAUUUAUAUAGUCUGAAUUUCUAUAAGUCCUCCCCUUCAUCUUCAGCCUUUUUUUGUUUUGCCAUAAGCAAACCUGAAGAAAUUUGUGGAAAAAAGUAUUAACCAUAUAAAAAAUGUGGAUUUCUUAUUUCAUACCAUGGUUUGAUUUUCAUUGGUCUCUGCUGCUCGUUGUUGUGAAAAUUUUAAUAUACUCGCAAGUGCACGAAUCUAGAGAUAGAAAAGUGGUAACGAGGUCGAUCCCACAGGGAUUGUUAUAAAUUGAAAAGUCUAAUUUAAAUCUAAAAUUAAUAUUAAUUCUAACCUAGUUGAGCAAAUUGAGUUUUAAGAGAAAUUAAACUAAUUAAACUAAAGAAGCAAUUAAAAUAAAGGAGAAUUCAAUAAGAUAAGAAUUACCAAGGUUUCAGAAUCCACCACUAUUCAACUAGUAAUUAUCUAAUUAUUAAUUAAUCCCCAAUUUUAGAGUGACAACUCGAAAUCAAUCUAUGUCAUCUCAUGGAUAUAACAAUUAAGCCCAAGUAAUUAAAUCUAAUGUAGGUUCUUUUUCUGCUUAAUAAUAUGACAUCUAAGAAUCUCAUGUAAACAUAUUGAAUAAUAAAGAGUCAAAGUUUCCUAAGCACUCCAUGUAAACAAUUUAAUGAAAGACAUAAAAUCAAAGAUAAUCAUGUAUAAACUUUAUAGAUCCAAGCAUAGAAUUAAUCGAAUAUUAAUCCUAACAAUCAAUAAUGCAUGACAGAAUUGAUGAAAAGAUUUUAUUAACAUCCAAUUAAUCAUGUGAAAUAAAAACCAUAAUCAUCAAAGAACAUAUAUAGGGAAUUAAUUAAAUAAAAAGAUAAUUAUUUUAUUGAAUAGGGUUUCAUCCUUAACCUCAGUGUAAGAAAAUUAGCUAGACAUACUUGAAUUGAGAGCAAUAAAAGAAAUAAAAUCAGCCAUGGGAAGCCGAAAUAUUGCUGCUGCGGAUUGCUCUCUUCCAAAGCCGAAUUCUCCUCCACUGGCG
rnacentral:lncRNA from 1 species